AUGGCCAAAUCACAUUGGAACAUUGGCUUUCAUAUGAUCACCAAAGUUAAGCAAUGUCAUACCUGGUCAGUACUAAGAUGGGUGACCAUUUGGGAAUACCAGGUGCC